GCCCAAACCAAUAAAGUUUUCUUUAUUGGGGUUGCGGACAUAUCAUAACGAAGAGGUAUCGUAAUUGAAGAGGUUUGGAAAGACCCACCACAGACGGUAAUAGUCCUGUAUGUUAAACGAGAAGACUGUAGAUAUGAUCCAGAGUACCACGGGACACGUGAAACCCUGUGGGAAGCAGGAGGGACCACCCUCCAAGGCUAAAUACUACCUAGUGACCGAUAG
rnacentral:rRNA from 1 species